GCAGGAACGCAGCUGGUGUUGGAAAGACCUCCUGUCCCUCCCGUGGGUGUGCCGGUGACACCCAGAAACCAGGCUGCGGAUGAGGGGUCUGAACAGACUGGAACCAAGAUGACAGUUUCUCCCCCGUCCCCAGAGACAGCAGAGCCCCUCAGACCACCGCCUGCUGUUUCCAGUUUCCAGCUUGGCUCUCGUGACCCGGAGCACUGGGGGGAGUGCAUCCCAUGGGGGACCGGCACACACAGGUAAUGGGCCUUCCAAACUCAUUCCAGAAGCAUGAGUUUGGGGCCAGGCUGGGUGGAAGAUCUGGGGGUCAUCGGUGCCCCUAGAAAGCCGCAGGAAUCGAGGCAGCUGGGAGAGGAUGGAGUGUGGGGAGAAACAGGCUGGAGACAGAAUCCAAGCUCUCAAGGCAUCGCUCAGAGCCCACGCUCAGAAGAGCCCCGAGCUUAGUUCGAUGCUAUGCUGUCGCCACCCUUCUCAGAAAUUCCUACCGAUUUUUCAAUUAUUAAGAAUCAGGGGCCACAUUUUCGUUUUGCACUGGGCCCCCUGAACCACGUGCCCAGUCCUGCCCCCAACGCUGUCCUUCACUCCUAGGGCAGGGCUGCAACAUGGUGGGCACCAGGUGCCCACGGAGACGGAAGCAUGUGGUCGGAUGGAAGAGGUGCCAGGAGCCAGCAGAGUGGCGGAAGCAGAGGAGAGGGUUUCAGAGGGGAGGUGCGUCCCUGGGUUCUUUGCCCUGGACCACAGUGAGGAUGGCAGAGCAUUUGCCCCCAGGCGUGCGGUCCUGCCAGUUGAGGCCAGUGCCCACCAGCGAGCGGAGUGGCUGCUAUUCCCAGACUCUUUUUCCACUCAGACCCCUCCAUCCUUCCAAACUGAAGACAAAGCAGGGUCUCUGAUGAGGGGCUGAUGUUUGUUUCCACCCAGCCCGUUGACACAACUUCGGAUUUUUCUUUGGGGAGCUUCUUUCUCCAGAAAGCGCUGCUGGUACUGACUUACACCCUGACUGGGGGAAAUGACCACCCUAAAGAUAUCAAUCCCCAUGGACUUCCUCGCCCCUGCAGGGGAGGUCUCCAGCCGGGCCAGCUCAGGCCCCAUCCUCAGUACCCCUUCUGUAGCGGGCUGGAAGCCCCAGAACUUCUCCCUGAGCCAUCGCAGCCAAGGCGACAGACCUGGUUGGAAAACAGGUGCUAACAGCCCAGAACGAGUCAUCAGCCUGGGCUGAGAUUGUAACUUCUCCCCACGGACCCCUCCCCCAUCACCAUCGGCACCACCAAAGGAGGGAAAGAAAAUACUCCAGAGGGACUGGAUUAAGGUCUUUCAGCUCAGAAAGAGGGGGAUUAGGCAGAAGCUGGUAAAGAGAUGGUCUUCUGGGAAUUCCCUGGCGGUCCAGUGGUUAGGACUCUGCACUUCCACUGCAGGCCCGGGUUUGAUCUCUGGUAGGGGAAGUAAUAUCCCACAAGCCGUGCAGCAUGGCCAAAAACAAGAUAGUCUUCCUUUCCAGGAAGAACUGAGCCACAGGAAAUGGUCUUAAACAUCCACAGGGAAGAUUUUGAUCAGGGGUGAAAAAGAGUUUCACAAUAGCACAGAUCUUGAGAGACCUACAGAGAACACCAAAUGAGAAAAUGGACCUGUGCAGGAGCAUUGGCUACGUGGGGGGAGUCUCUGUAUUCCACGAAGCCCCUCUCGCAGGCUUUGCAUAGGUGGUUGGUAAGUAAACGCCUGAAGUUAUGCAUGAAAGCUUUUUUAAGAUAUCCCAAGAGAUACCAGCUGCAUUUCCAAGAACCAGGCUCUCCAAACAAAAAUCUGGGUCCAAAGUCCUCUACGUAAUUUUGAAAGUAAAUUUUCAGUUCUUGGAUCCAGAGGCUUUGUGGCCUCAUCUAAGUCUCAGAUUCUGCACAGUCACAAUUUCAAAAAAUAAUACAGUGUUCCCAGCGGAGACGCUCCGGGACUGGAGGAGGACUCUUUGUAACCCAAAACCUGUGAGGAAACUCAGUUCUGGCGCCAAAGAGAGGUUUCCACUGAAAGGGAACAAAAACAGGCAAAGAGGUUUUGCAACAGGCAAGCGCUCUGUUUAAAAAAAAUUCAGGGACGUCAGGAAACUCCAAAGAACUGGCUAAAAACAAGAUUUCUUUAACCUAGAACAUGGGGACUUCAACAAGGCGUAGGAAAUUGGAUGCUGGAAUCCGGCCCCACCAACAUUCUCAAUUCUAACCUUCGUCGACCUGCUGGAAGGGAGGUGGUAGGUGAGGAAAAGGACAUUUCCUUCAUCUGGGAUCGCAUCUUCAUCAGGACUGGUCUCUGCUGUUGUGCAGACAAAGCUCCAUUCAUGGUGCUUGGAGAAGGAACUAUCAGAUACUGAUUCCAACCUGAGUUUCAUUCAUUCAUUUAUAAAUCUUACAAUUAUUUGUUGACUGUCUGCUCACUGCCAGGCACUAGGCUGUUUACUGGAGAUGAGAAACACCUGCCUUCAGGUAGCUACUGUUCAGUGAAAGCACCAACAGGUGGGCUGCAGAACUGAAACAUCUCCAGGACCGGAGAUCCCGAGUCACCCAAGAGAUGUGGGGUGCAUCACAACUGCCCAAGCUACAUCAUCGUGUGUAUUCCCAACACAUGAAAACCUCAGUGUUGAUUAGGCUUUGAGAGGAACCAAGUCCAUCCCUUACUGUGUUACAUCUGAUGAUUGCAAGAUUUUUCCCCAGCCCAGCCUCAAGCUCCAUAAAUGUCGAGUCUCAUUUCUCUUCGCCACCCCGUCCUCCCGUGCCCUGGAGUCAUCGGAUGUCUUCACGUGGCACUGAGACCACAGAGCGGUGGUGGGAGAAGCAUCCCGGAGGCCGUUUCUCUACCAGAAUGUGUGUGGAUAACGUGACUGUACACGGAGUGACUGCAGCCUGCCUAAAUCAGGGAGGAAAGUGAGGGCAGCCGUGACCGACCGCACCUACAAAUUGUCUGCAAACACACCACAGGAGCACCUUGCAGGGACACUCCCGGGCUGUGGAGGGAGUCGCCCUACGAGGGUCCAGAAGCAGAAGCUUGAGUCUACUUUUCCUCAAGCCACCUGCUUUGGGGAUUACGGACCCAGAAGGGAGGGGAAGAGCCCGGAGGAAGGUGUAUGGCAGACAUCCGGGGAUUUGUCUUCCCCUUUCGGGUGAAUCUUUGGAUUUAAUAUCCAUAUUUUCCUCACCGGAAAUGAAAUUACAUGGUGCGGUACAUUCUUAGCCAUGAAAAUAACUGGUCAAAUCAUAGCGCAUCUUUAAAGUUUCUGAUGCACAGUGCCAAAUUAUGCUCCUAAAAAUUCUGCCCCGACCAGAGCAGGAGGACAAUUUGACAGUACAAAUCCGGGCUCCAGAGGUUCUUCCAGGAUUGGUCCCACAGUUAUCUGCUUGGAGCUGCAGCAACUGCCGAGGCAGCCCACUCCUUUCCGGGACAAGGCUUAGUAGAAGGAACCAGAAGACCCGCCUUCCUCACCCAGGCCUGCUGCUUGCUGGCCAUGCAACCUCUGGCAAGACAGAAGGGUCGGGAGCAAGCAGACUGUCCACAUCAGUUCAGAAAUGACAGUGGAGGAUCCCAGGCUAAGCCCGAGCUGAGUCCCAAGUGACCUGCUUCCAGCCCCAGCUCAGCCGGGGACCAGCUGGUUAACCUGAGGCAGGAGCCUUAGUUGCAUCACUCCCAACAAUACAAAACAUGCACAAGUACUGCAGAGCUAUAUAAUUUAAUAAGUAUCACGUAUCAUUGUUUGGAAAAUUAAAAUUCAGCUGGACUAAAGACCUCAGAAAUCCCUGCUGGCUGCGUGGCUCUAGCGUUCUCUACGGCAGACGAAGAGGGUUAAUUGGUAGAGGACUCGGGGUGGGAGAUGGGGAGGGAAGCCAGGUGGUUUUACCUAAACACUAAAAGCAGAGAAACAAGCACACACCCUCUCCCAAUUCUGUGAUUUUUUUCACCCGUCUCAGCUGGAACAAAAAGCCUUUUGUGAGCUUAGUGGAGCCUGACUUCGCACACUUUUCUGUCUCCUUCUCCUUCUGUGUGGGAAAAAACAAGCCGUUCCAUCCGGGUUUGCUAGGUUCCUUUGAAGGCCUUGCGGCUUUGGUUCAGGCAAACAGGAACCUGGCCGGGCCGCCUCCGCCCUGCUGAGGGAGCUUUUUGGCAGGACUUUCUCCCGGCCUCCUCGUACAGAGAUUGCAGAGGGGGAGGGGAAGGGGAGCACGGGAUGGGCGUGGGGGGAGAGCAGGGCUGCAGGUGCUGUGCCAGGCGAGGGACCUGAGUGCUGAGCAAGCAGGGCGCUGGGCCCUUUCUUGUGUGAUGGGAACCCACCGACAUCCCCUCACUGAAUCCUCUCCUGCGCCCAGGGAGGCGGGAACCACGGCCUGGUUCCACAUCAGGAACCGAAGCUCGCAGGGCGGCCUGCCUUUGCCGGAGGCCACACGGACCAGGAAACUAAUACAGAGGGAAACCAGCGCAAGGAGGAUUCAAAUCAGCUGGAGAAGAUGCUGGGGACCGGUUUAGUCCACUCUGGCUGCCAUACCAGAGCACCACACGGGGGCUUAAACAACAGACAGGCACUGUCUCAGUCUGGAGUCUGGGAGUCCGAGAUCAAGGUGUCAGCAUAGCUGGUCUCCUCGGAGGCCUCUCUCCUUGCUGUGUAGGCGGCCACCCUCUUCACGUGGCCAUCCCUCUGGGCACACGCACUCCUGGCUUCUCCCUGUGUCCUAAUCUUUUCUUAUAGGGACACCAGCCAGAUUAUGGGCCUCAUUUGAACAAAUCAUCUCUGUAAAGACCCUGUUUCCAAAUAGUCACGUUCUGAGGUGCUGGGGGAGGGGUUAGGGCUUCAACAUGGGAAUUCGGGGGCACGUAACAGGGAGCCUCCAAGCCUGCCUCAUUCCCACAAGGCCCUCACUUUUCUGGCAGCUUCCAGACCUCCCUAGGGCCCAGCUUGAGCCCAGGCAGCCUCAGCCUGUAGAACCAGUUAGAGCUGCCAAGAGAACAGGUCGGGGCAGUCCAGGGGGUGUGGGUUUGCAGAAGGGACCUGGAGUUCCCUGAGGACUGGUGGUCAGGACAGGACCCAGGCACCGGGCAUGGAGGAACUCAAUCUCUCCCAGGCCAGACCCCAGAGCCACUCUCCCAGUCCUAACAAGGGCCGCUGAAGGCACCGGGGAACAAGCGGCAGUGGCGGGUGGCAGGCAGUGGGAUCGGGAGUUAGACCUGCUCUGGUGACUUGGCUCUUUGCAGGGACAUUGACACAGAAGGGCCAGAAGAGGCAGUGAAGCAUGCAACAUGCAGCCCCCAAUGCAGCCCAGGACUGAGAGAGGAGAGGUUUCCUGAUUCCUUCCUCUCCCGACACCACCCAGGCCCCUGAUCACACGUGGCCCCAGAGCCUCAGGCAGCAGGAGUGACGCAGACUGCCUUCCAGACUCCCUCCUCGCUGACCUGUAUCCUCCAGCCUCCACUGGGCUCCCCUCCCCACUUCUCCAGGCCAGGAUGGACUCGCUCACACCCACAAACUGCAAAGGUGCAGGGCGUGUUUCAGACAGAAGACAGCCCACGCCAGGUACGCGAAUGGAGAAGAUUCGAUACAUAUAGUUACAUAAGGUAUAAAAUUGCUAUGCUGGUGACUCAAAAGGUAAAGAGAACUUGACAGUAUCAUCCCCGAGGCUGAGGCAGCAAAGGGAACGGCUGGGAUUAUUAAAACGCGGAAACAUGGGCCUGGGACCCCAACCUCGGAGGGAGGGGGUCUGGCGGAUGCUGGCGUGUCUGAGGUGCCAUGAAGUUGUUUUUACAAGCGUUGGAAAAGCCACGAAGGGAUUCAGCUCCCCACCCCGAUCCUCUGCCUCUGAGACGCUGAGUGUUUCUACAGCUUCUUCAUAAAAACACAACUCACAUCCACGCGGAGAGAAUCACAUCCUUCCCGAACUCUUUCCUCCUGCAUCACCACCGGCCUGUCUCAGCCAAGGGUGAAAAGUCUUGGAAUGUAACAGGGUGACCGUUGAACCCAACCCUGACCCUUUUUCUCUCUUGCUACUUCAGCUUGUGUGAUGGUUGAUUUUAGGUGUCAACCUCAUGGGGCUGACUGAUGCCCAGGUAGCUAGUAGAAUAUGAUUUCUGCCUGUGGCUACGAGGGCGUUUCUAGAAGAGAUUCACAUUUGAAUCGGUGGGUGAGGAAAGCUGACCCCCCUCCCCGAGGUGAUGGACCACGUUCAAUUCUUUGAGGGCCCACGUGGAACCAAAGGUGGAGGAAGGGGAAUCCACUCUCUCUGUUGAGCUAGGACGUCCAUAUUCUCCUGCCCUCAGACGUCGGUGCUUGUGGUUUUCAGGCCUUUGGACUUGGAUUGAAUCACACCCCAGCUCUCCUGGGCCUCUCAGAUGGUGGGACUUCUGACUUCUCAGCCUCCAUAAUCACGUCGUGCCCUGCCCCCUUCCCUCCUGUCUCACGAUGUUGAUUUCGGGAGCUGUCACCCGCACUGGUGAGAGAAAGGGUUGGAAAGAGUUCCCUUUUGGGAAUAAUGGCCGUUAUUUGUCACCCAUCGACCUGGACGUCUCUGGAUCCAUAAAGGCAAGCCCUCUACCUGCCAGCUUGCAGCAAGAGAGAAGAAGGAGAGAAAGGGAGACAAUGAGAAGGAAAUAAAAAACAGAAGUGGGAAGGAAGAUUCUACUCUUCUCUUCCAACUCUUUUGAUAACAUUCAGAAAAACAACAUAGUCUAGGUUUUCAUGCUUCCUUCACCCUGGUAGACAUGAAUGAUAAAGACCCAAGAUGGCAGGUGAGCCACAGCAGGAUGUUAUCAACUUCCAGAUCCCAAAAGAAUCAGAAGAAAAGAGAGAAAUCUGGGAAAAAGAGAAAGACUUGAGGCAUUAGAAAAGGAGUUUGAAUGACCUGCCAUGUCAUGAGAGGCCCCAGUGCCCACGGAACCAGACUGACGUCGGGACCCUCCACCACCAAGCACAGCCUCACUCAGGUAAGCAAACUUCUUCCUAUGCCACACCUCCCCCCCCACCCCGUUUUAACUGAAGUGUAGUUGAUUUACAACGUUGUGUUAGCUUCUGGUGUACAGCAAAGUGAUUCAGUUUUAUAUAUAUAUACUCUUUUUCAUAUUCUUUUCCAUUAUUCAUUAUAUACAAGAUACUGAAUAUAGUUCCCUGUGCUGUACAGUAGAAUCUUGUUGUUUAUCUAUUUUAUAUAUAGUAGCGAAUAUCUGCUAAUCCCAAACUCCUAAUGUAUCCCUCUCCCCUUCCCCUUUGUAACCCUAAAUUUGCUUUCUAUGUCUGUGAGUGUUUCUGUUUUGUAAAUAAGUUCAUUUGUAUCAUAUUUUAGAUUCCACAUAUAAGCGAUAUCAUGUAAUAUUUGUCUUUCUCUUUCUGACUUACUUAGUAUGAUAAUCUCUAGGUCCACCCAUGUUCCUGCAAAUGGCAUUAUUUCAUUCUGUUUUAUGGCUGAGUAAUAUUCCAUUGUAUAUAUGUACCACAUCUUCUUUAUCCAUUCCUCUGCUGUUGGACGUUUAGUUUGCUUCCAUGUCUUGGCUAUUGUAAAUAGUGCUGCAAUGAACAUUGGGGUGCAUGUAUCUUUUUGAAUUAUGGUUUUCUCCAGGUAUAUACCCAGGAGUGGGAUUUCUGGAUCAUAUGGUAGUUCUAUUUUUAGGUUUUUGAGGAACCUCCAUACUGUUCUCCAGAGUGACUGCACCAGUUUACAUUCCCACCAACAGUGUAGGAGGGUUCCCUUUUCUCCACACCCUCUCCAGCAUUUAUUGUUUGUAGACUUUUUAAUGAUGGCCAUUCUGACCAGUGUGAGGUGAUACCUCAUUCUAGUUUUGACUUCUAUGCCCCCCUUUUUUUAACCUUGAAAAAAUUGUGGCAUAUAACACACAUAGAGAAAAGUGUGUAAAACAGAAAUGUUUGUGAAUUAUUAUGAAGCAACUGUGUAAGCACGUGUCUCUUCAGCUGCUGGAACAGAACAGCAGGCUGGGGCUUAAACAACAGAAACUUAUUCCUCACAGUGCCAGAGACUGGGAGUCCAAGAGCAGGGGUCCAGUGUGGUCGGGGUUCUGGGGAGAGCCCGCUACAGACUGCCUUCCGUUGUGUCCCCACAUGUCUGGGAGCAGAGAGGACGCCGGCUCUCUCGUGACUCUUACGGGGGCACAAACCCAUCCCUGAGGCUCCACCCUCAUGGCCUCAUCUCAUCCCAAGGCCCCACCUCCUAACACCAUCACAUGGGGCGGAGGGGUAGGGUUUCAACAUGUGAGUUUUGGGAGGACACAAGCAUCUAGUCUAUAACACAAGCAGGCAGAAAGCAGAACAUGGCCAGGCCCCCAGAAUCCUCCUGCAGGUCCAUCCCAAUCUCCACCUUCCCCUCUCCCAACCCUCCCUGCUACCUGACUUCCAACUCUGCCCUGUAGCUUGGCCUGGCUUUAACUGAAACCAUUUCUUCAUUUUCCCUUCUCUUCCCCACCUUCACCUAGAGUUGCGUCAUGGGUUGAAAUAUGUCUCCCCAAAAUCCAUAUGUUGAAGUCCUCACCCCCAGUCCCUCAGAAUGUAACCUUAUUUGGAAAUAGGGUCAUUGCAGAUGUAAUGGGGUCAUCCUAGAGCUGGGUGGGCCCUAAUCCAACAUGACGGUGUCCUUACAAAUAGGGGAAAACACCAUUGAACAUGAAGGCAGAAAUCGGGGUGAUGCUUCUACAAGCCAGGGGACACCAAAGUUUUCCAACAAACCGCCAGAAGCAGGGAGAGAGGCCUGCACGGAUCCUCCCUCAGAGCCUCAGAAGGAACCAGCCCUGCUGACACCUUGAUCUUAGACUUCUGGCCCCCGGGACUGGGAGAUGACCCAUUUCUGUAGUUUCUGCUGCCCAGUGUGUGGUGCUUCGUAACAACGGCCCUAGAAAACGAAUACAGUCCUUCCACAGCCUAGGAGAGGGUAUGAAAAGGAGGUGCAGAGCUUUGAAUUGGCUCAUAAGUCAUGGUUUCAAACUAGACAGACUAACUUUUAAUAUCAAGAGUGUGCAGAGAGCAGUGGAAUCUGGUCCAGCUCCUGUUCAGGGAGAGGAUUGGGGGUUGCAGGGGGGUGAGGCUGCCAUCGGGUUGGUCGAGGAGAAACACUUCCUGCGUCAACACACAGGUCGCAGCUCUUCGUGUGGUGGCUGGAGGCUGAAGGGUCUCCUCAGGGUGUCUCUGUGUGGUGAGGUGUCUGGGGGGCGCUCACCCUGGGGCCGGUGGGAGAGACGUGACCCACAUCUGGCUCGGUCACCCUGGGGCUGAUGCCAUCCGUCGGUAUGGCCCGUGCUCUCACCUCCAAGGGAGACUGAGUCUUCUGCCCAGCGUGACCUCGUUUCCUGUUCUGUUUCCCCCUCGUGCAAUGGAAAACUCCCUCCUGCACUGGGGGCGUGAGGAGUGACAAAGGGAAAUUAGUCCAAGGCUUUCGUGAUAUAGAAGUUGCUUUAGAAAUGGUAAACAGCGAGACCACAUCGUUCCCCUCAGGAGACAUUUGUCUCUUCUCUAAAUCACUGGGUCAAGACUUUGGUUAAACUUUAAAAUUAAAAAGCAGCAGCAGCGGGCUUCCCAGGAGAGCGUGCAUGUGUGUGAUGCAUGGUUUCGGCCCUGAAAAGCAUUGCUCUUCAGUGGUUUUCUGGGUGGCGAGGACAGGGCAUCCUUCCCUGGGUGUCGGGGCUCCUGGGCACUGGGGCAGCUGGUCAGCACGCCCAGCGUGACAUGGUGGCCGUUGGGAGGCAGCACUUUGCACGGAGGUCUCGUUGGACCCACCCUGCCUUCCCCACGUGGUCCUGUUGGGAAGCUGCCAGCUGGCUCCAAUGUCCAGAUGACACAACUUUGUCUGGGUCCCCUCGAGGGACAUGGAACAAAAACACGGAUCAGAGGGAGCCGGACACAGAGAGUGCAGGUUGCUGGACCCUCCACGUGGGGCCCCAGAAGAGGCAGAACCGCCAAGCUGCUGGCGUCCAUGUGCCCCUGCCCUGGGCUUGGGGAUCAGUGGAAGGGACAGCGACAGGGCCCCUGGGGGCUGACUCUGCUUUGUGUCUCCAGCUGGGGCUGACUUCACAGGUGGGCUCAGUUUAUAAAAUGUCAGCUAGCUGAACGCAUACAGCUUGUGCAUUUUUCUGUCAGUACAUUCAGUGAAAAGUGAGACAGAGAGAGACAAAGAGAGACCGAGAGACAUAGAGACAGAGACAGAGAGACAGUGACAGACAGAGAGACAGAGACAGAGAGAGACAGAGAGGAGAGAGGGCAACAGCACAACCAAAGUACCCUUCAAAUGUUGGGGUUUCUGCAGAUUUCAAGCUGUCUUGUCUUCUUCUACAUGGGAUGAGUUCCUUCUCGCCCUCUCCCAAAAGUGGUACUGUCUAAUGUCCCAAAUCAGAAAGAGUCUGUUCUCCAGCCUCAGAAGGGAGAAGUUGGCCCACUUUCCUGCUCCCUACAGGAAAUGGCCCCGUGAGGAACAUGAUGCUUGGGCUCCAGGACAUCAUGCAGAUGUGAUGUAAUUACUGAUGCAGGACCUGGGGGCAGGCAGCUGCCCCAGGGGCUGCAUGGACACAGGGACGCCCUCCCCACCUGUCUCAGAAUUAGGCUCCCUCCCACUGUCUCUGUCUUCAGUGGUCUCCACCUGCUUCACCCAGGAUUCCUCUGGGGAAGACCUGAAGGUGAGGUGGAAACUGAGGCCUUGGGGGUGGGGGGCAGGGCUGCUGUGGGAUCCACGCUCUGUUCCUGAGGCAGCGUCAUUCCCAGAGCCCAGGUGAAAACAGCACAUUAAUUCGCAGAACAGGCAUCGGCCAAACCGAGUUCCACUCCUCCUAAGACCUAAUAAGUAAUCUCUCUCUCCACCUAAAAAUAUAAUCUGGCUUUAAAUCCAGCCCACAGGGUUAUAUAAGGCGCGGGGAGCAGGGAAACAGCGAGGCUGAGCUCUCACUCUCAAAGACGAAAACAAAACUCGUGCCCACGAGCAGGCGCGGACCUUAUGGGCAGAGGUCUUCUCGUGUGCCCUGAUUUCCCCAGCGUCAGCCCUGAUGGCUUCAUCAGAACAUGCCUCACUGACUCAAGUUAAAACCUUCACUUAGCUGCUUCUCUCACACUCUGUCACCUUAAAGCAUCUUAAGGCCAGAUUCCCCUAGGGCCACAGUGGAAAGGGACCAUGAUGUCCCCUCCUGUGACAAUUACCUCCUGUCCACAGCACUCGAGCUCUGAGCUCUUUACCAGAGAGUCCAAUGAGUCAGGUCUCAGAAUCCUGAAAUCUGGACAGACCCUCCCCCUGCCCCCCUGCCCCUCGGCCAUGGACACGUGAGAAUGCAUCUCAACGUGAUUGGAAGGCCAGGAACUGGAAGUGAUAAGACUGCCCAGGCGGCUUUUACUUUUGCUUUUACCUCUUAAAAGAGCUAAGAGCGCACAUUGUUCAAGCCAUAAAUUCUUUAAAAGGUUAAGUGGAUCCAGUUACAUGAUGUAUUUGUAGUAACAAGCCCAGAAGUGGAGAUCAGGAGGCAACAGGCCCAAGAGUUCUAAUUCCAUCACUUUCCAGGGUUUAAUUCGGGGGUAGAUCUUGCCCCCUCCCUGGGCCUCCAUCCCCUAUGUAAGCUCAAAGGAGGGCAUCAGAUGGUCACUAGGUCCCUUCUGGGUCUCCAGGGUCUGAUUCAAUUCCUCCUGGGUUUCCCACAUCAGCGUUGGGCCUCCCGCAGCCAUGGCGUCUCCUGGUGUUCAACAGUCAGGCCCACGGGGUCUAGCAGGUCCAACCGGUGGGUCUCACUGUUCUAAAACCCGGGGUCCACCAAACCGAAAACCCCCAAAUGGUUGUUGUGUGACCCCAACUCAGCAGCUGCGCAUGCACUGCCAUCUACCUAAACGGACAGGCACAGAGUAUGGGCAGGUGCCGGGGUAGCCUGGACAUAGAACACAGGUGCCCCGGAGCCAAGGCGGCUCCCUCACCAAGAGCAUCACACACUCUCCAGCCUAGAAAUGCUGUUGCCUGGACACGAGCGAAGUGAGGUGCGCUGGCCGUUUCCUGCCUAAAGGGAGCACAGUGGAGAGGUCACAGGUCACCACAAACAGGCAGGCAGGGCCCUUCCUGGACUUAAACACCAAUACCCAAUUCCGGUUUGGCCAUUGAGGUUCAGGCUGGUACCUAGAAGCCCGGCUCACAGUUUCCGCUGACUCAUUUCCGCAUCUUCCCUGGGGAGACUGAGGCCUGUAGGUGGUUUUCACCUCUUCCGUGACCACACCAAGUGGGGCUACAGUGUCACACAAAAUGCUGGUUUCAAAAUGAGAAAGCAAGAGGGAGAAGUGUGCCCGGGUGAGUGAUUCCAUCCCGAAGGGCAGACUCACUGAUGGCUCCAGCCCAGCAGGCCCAGGACCGGCGUGCAGAGGUGCCCCUCACCCUGGACCCCGCUCCUUCCCUUCCGUAGACUAGAUGUGUUCUCAGCAACCGUGCGUGGAUGCAAGCCUGAGUCCAAGAGGAGAGCCUUCUAGAAGCACUGUUUCUCCUUUUCCAAAGAAGAAACGGUUCUUUCAGAGAAGCCCCCUCCCCGUCCCCAAUUAGUUCUCAGACACAUCCCUCCUGCCAGCAGAGCAGUCUCAUGCCCAGAAGGAGACAGGGCUUUAACGCCCCACACGCACACAAGAUCCCAUCAGCUGCCCUCACCCAAGCCGCCCCUGGACGUUAUUCUUUUUUUUUUUUUUAUAAAUUUAUUUAUUUACUUAUUUAUUUUUGGCUGUGUUGAGUCUUCAUCGCUGCAUCUGGGCUCGUUGCGGUGCGCGGGCUUCUUAUUGCAGUGGCUUCUCUGGGUGUGGAGCAUGGGCUCUAGGCGCGUGGGCUUCAGUAGUUGUGGCAUGCGGGCUCAGUAGCUGUGACUUGCAAACUCUAGCGCAAAGGCUCGGUAGUUGUGGCACACGGGCUUAGGUGCUCCACGGCAAUGUGGGAUCUUCCCGGACCAGGUUUCGAACCCAUGUCCCCUGCAUUGGCAGGCGGAUUCUUAACCACUGCACCACCAGGGAAGUCCUGGACAUUAUUCUUUCCUUUCUUUUUUUUUUUUAACAUCUUUAUUGGAGUAUAAUUGCUUUACAGUGGUGUGUUAGUUUCUGCUUUAUAACAAAGUGAAUCAGUUAUACAUAUACAUAUGUUCCCAUAUCUCUUCCCGCUUGCUUGCGUCUCCCUCCCUCCCACCCUCCCUAUCCCACCCCUCUAGGUGGUCACAAACCACCGAGCUGAUCUCCCUGUGCUAUGCAGCUGCUUCCCACUAGCUAUCUAUUUUACGUUUGGUAGUGUAUAUAUGUCCAUGCCACUCUCUCACUUUGUCACAGCUUACCCUUCCCCCUCCCCAUUUCCUCAAGUCCAUUCUCUAGUAGGUCUGUGUCUUUAUUCCCGUCUUACCCCUAGGUUCUUCAUGACCUUUUUUUUUUCUCUUAGAUUCCAUAUAUAUGUGUUAGCAUAAGGUAUUUGUUUUUCUCUUUCUGACUUACUUCACUCUGUAUGACAGACUCUAGGUCCAUCCACCUCACUAUAAAUAACUCAGUUUCGUUCCUUUCUAUGGCUGAGUAAUAUUCCAUUGUAUAUAUGUGCCACAUCUUCUUUAUCCAUUCAUCUGUUGAUGGACACUUAGGUUGCUUCCAUGUCCUGGCUAUUGUAAAUAGAGCUGCAAUGAAUAUUCUCCAAAGAAGAUAUACAGAUUGCCAACAAACACAUGAAAGAAUGCUCAACAUCAUUAAUCAUUAGAGAAAUGCAAAUCAAAACUCCAGUGAGAUAUCAUCUCACACCGGUCAGAAUGGCCAUCAUCAAAAAAUCUGGAAACAAUAAAUUCUGGAGAGGGUGUGGAGAAAAGGGAACCCUCUCGCACUGUCAGUGGGAAUGUAAAUUGAUACAGCCACAAUGGGGAACAGUAUGGAAGUUCCUUAUAAAACUACAAAGAGAACUACCAUAUGGCCCAGCAAUCCCACUACUGGGCAUAUACCCUGAGAAAACCAUAAUUCACAGAGUCAUGGACCACAGUGUUCACUGGACGUUAUUCUUGAUGCGUUUUCUCAGCCUUAUGCUGCUGUGGACACCAGGGGCCGCCCUCCCCCCCGACCCCACAUCCAUUGUUUGCAGAGAACUGACACAGCCCAAGCUCCAGGUGAUUUUUCUCAUCACAGGUGUGGUUCAGGGAAGGAUGCAAAAACUCAGUCCGCGCAUUCAGGGUGAAAUGCAGGGUUUGUUCUCUCUUUGGGGGAAGAGGCGCUCCCUCCCUCCUCCUGGAGGCGAAUAGGAGAGCACAUGCCACAGGAGGUGUGGCAGCCAGGCCAUCACCGUGAGGGAAGCCAGCCUGAGGACAAACCUGCCCCAUGGAGGAGGCGGGACUCAGAGAAGCACAGACAAAUGGACUUCUAGUCCUGAUGAGACAGAAUUCCCAGAGCGAAUCCCCCAGGAUCUGGCCCUACCUCUGGACGUUUUCGUUAUGUAAGCUGACAGGUGCCCUGCUGUUAACAUCAGGUGGAUAUGUAUUUUCUUUAUUUUUAUUAUUUUCUUUAUUUAUUUUGGCCCCGCCGCAUGGCUUGUGGGAUCUUAGUUCCCCAGCCAGGGAUUGAACCCGGGCCACCACUGUGAAAGCGCUGAGUCCUAACCACUGGACGGCCAGGGAAUUCCCAUGAUGUGGAUUUUCUUGACCCAUGAAGCACUCUGGUAAAACCAUCUUUAGAAACCUUUGCUAUUUGCAUGCAUCUGUUAUCACACAGGAAGUAAACACGUCAUGCUUGCUGUAGAGGUCACUCCAAGGCAAAUCCUAAUCCCUCCCUUCCAGCCAGUUGCCCCACCAAGUCCCGCUGUCCAGGCAUUCAGGAGCCACGGAGCAGGAACCUCUCAGACGUCCCACUGUGACAUCCCGACUUGUCCCUACAACAUGCUGAGGUUAUAGAUCCUUGAGCAGAACGGGCAACGUGAUGAGCGAGAGAUUCUGGGAGGAUUGUCUGGUGACGUGAAGAAGCAGAAGAGCCAGUGGGAGGCAGCAGCAGUGAUGGGGGCGGGGAAGGGAGAAGUUUGAGAGACACGUCCAAGGAGGAAGGGCCGAUGCACUCAGAGGGACCAGGGGCCAGCAGGGACCUGCAGGUGUGCAGUGCCCGGCAGAGAAGGACAUGGUGGGGGUGGGGUCUGGGAAGAUGAGCUUAGCGAUUUGGCGACAUGAACUGCGAUGUCUGCAGGAGUGGUAUCAGGAAGCACCUAUUCUGGUCUUAGAUCAUUUACAAUUUUGUUUCUGUUUUGCUUGGCGGGGUAUGUGGGAGUUCGAGUGGUGACUGAGAGGUUUAUGGGAAAGAGAGCAUGAGAAAUCACUGCUCUGCUAAGAGAACUAAAGACAGGGAUGAAGGGAAACAGUGCUUGUAUUUCACUGUUAAAGCCUCAUUGGCUGUGGGGCGAACAUCACCAAGGCUGACAUGCAGGAAAUUCUGCUUGGUUCCUUAAAAGGUAAGUUCGGCUGAGAAGGUCCUUCCUUCUAGGAGAUAUUUUAGAAUAAGUGGAGUAGAUUCCCUCACACACACACAAUGAGAUAAACUCCUGUAAAGCGGCCGACGUUUGCUGGGUAUCUAGAGUCAGAAAGUAUCCCAUGAAAACAACAACAUUUUACAAUGAGGAAACAGCCCAGACAGAUGAGCGGUGGUGCUGGACUGCAAUCAGGCCUCCCGGUCCCUGCACUAGAGUCUGGGGUCCAUCCAAGUCCUGCAUCAUUACUGCGUUCCCCCUUUCACUCUGAAAAGGGCCUGAUUUGGACCAUCCAUUAUCUGGUCCACUACCUAUGGGGUGGAAGAGUCUGGAUGCAGAGUCACCAAGUCCUUUUCUUGGUCGCCGUGAGAGCCUGGCGGGAGACUAGGAUUGAGCGGAGGUGACUCUGCGUUUGAGAACCUGAGUUUUCUGCCUGCUGCCUGGUGGGCUCUGCAUGGGGGCUGGAAAAAGGGUCCCUCCUCUUCGGGGUGUGCAGUACGAACUUCUCUCUUUGAAUCUGUAGUUGGUGAGUCGCCUGAAUGCCUGCCCAUCCAGCUCUCUCCUCCGGCCAACCUCCUGGUUCACUUCUGAGCGAUCUGGCCACCGAGGCGCCGUCGCUGCGGGGACCACGGGCCGCCGAGGGUGUCUGCGUCCCUCCGCACGGUCCCCACGCCGCUCGUUUACGUUCUGAGCUCUCACAGCACAAGUUCAGCGGCCGCAAUCUCCCGAGUCCUCAAGAGUUUCGGGGAACUGGCCUGGGCCAGGGGUGUCUGCUCGUGGUCACUGCUGUCUGCACUUCGGGACGCAUGGCCGAGGAGACGGGAAGAGGCGCUAGAAGGUUAGUGUGGUUGACAGUCACAGGGAUGCGGCCACAGACAGGGGACAGAGUCCCGUCGAGGUCUCGCUGUUCUUCCGGGCAGCUGUGCGGUCUGCUCACCUGUCCUCACUUCCCCGCGGACUGGUGAGAGAAGGGCAUGUAGCUAGGCAGGUGCAUCCUUUCCAAAGAGCAGAAAACCAGCGAUUCCUCCCCAAAUGGUCCAUCAGGCCCAGAGCUGAAGGUCAAGCUCGACGUUCUGUGCCAGGACCUCCUCCACUGCCUGUCUCUGAAGAGGCAGCAAGACCUUGCCACGGUCUGUCCCUCUGCUCACCAUCUGAAUGACACUAAUCUCGGUGUCCAUGCCAUGUGCCAUCCCAGGCAGCCUCCCGACAGCAGGAUGGGGCCCGGGUCUGCAUGCGGAACCUGAGUUCUCCACACGUACCCCUGUGCCUGUGACCCCAGCCAGUGCAGACUGAGGGGUCUAACAGAAAAUGGACAAUCAACAGUCUGAUGGUGCUUCCCACUAACAUGCGUGGGAGUUAUCAGAAGCCACCAUGAAAGCUGGGUGUCAGGCCCCGUUCCAGCCACUGAUCAAUUCUGAUUUUACUCCCAAUGUACAGCUGAGGAAAUGGAGGCCCAGAGAUGUUAGCUCUUUUGGCCCAGGUCACACAGUUAGGCAGAGGCAGAGGUAAGAUUUGAACCAGGUACUUGGAAGAGCAGUGGUGCUCCAGCGUUCACUGUACAGACACUACACCCUCUUAGACCUAAAGAGGCGUCUCCCUGUGACCUCCAAGAAGCCAUCCGCCUCCAAUGGCUCUAAUGUAGGUAGCAGGGCUGGGGGAAUUUUAAUGUCACCCCUUUGUCUUAGUGAGCUCGGCUGCUGUAACACAACACCACAAACUGGGCGGCUUAUAAAUAGCAAACGUUUAUUUCUCACAGUUUUGGAGGCUGGAAGGCCAAGAUCAAGGUGUGGCCAGGGUUUGUGUCUGCUGAGGACCCGUUUCCUGUUUCACAGACAGCUGUGUCCUCAGUUGGAGGAAGGGGCGAAGGAGCUCUCUGGGCUCCCUAAUCCCAUCAUGACACUAAUCCCAUCAUGGGGGCCUCCACCCUCAUGACCUCAUCACCUCCCAAAUCCCCACCUCCUGACACCAUCCCCUUGGGUUAGUGCUUCAGUGUAUGAAUUUGGUGGAGGACAAACAUUUACUCUGCAGCACCCUUGCUCUCCUUCCUGGGGCCUUUUGGUUUGGGUACAUAGAAACAUUAUUUGUGGGAAAACUCAAAAUGGACAAGCUUUGGGGAAAUGCUGGGGUACUGAUGUGGGCAUGGAAGGAAGCUCACAUCCUGAGGGCAGGCACCGCGCCUGCCUGCUCCCUGCCGUACCAGCGUACUCUGGUACUCUGUACUCUGGCCCAGGGCCUGGUGCAGAGUGAUGAGAGCUCACUGAUCGUUUCCUGCGUGAGUGACUGGUGAUUUUUAACAGGUAUAACCUAUGUGACUGCCGAGCAGAUCCACUGGAGUCUCUACGUCCUCAGGCUUUGUUUGCAGUCUUGCCAGCAUCCCACUAAUUGAAAUGUUUGUGGACUUACAUAUUCUUCGGGUCUGCUCAUGACACAGGAGCCCCCAGGUGACCAGGGUCUUUAUCCUGGUCACCUUAACAUCAACAAAGAGAAGAAGCAUCAUGGAAAAUCUCCUCUCCACCUGGUCCUACCCUUCCAGAGUCCCCAGGCUCUGCUGGACCAACGAGCUGGAGGAACUGUGGGUGGGCAAGGCUUGUCGUAUCCGCUUGGUGCAGCCAGUCCAUGCCCGUGGGUGCACACACUGCAUGUGCGUAUCUAUGCGUGCGUGUCCAAUACCAUUUCCUGGAAGGCCACAGCUAUGCCAUGAAGAACGAGUGACUCACUGCCCCACGGAAGUCCUCGCCAUCUCACAGGCCUGUCUGGAGCUGCCCAGGUCUCAUGGUGAAGGAUGCUCAGCUCACUGCGAGCCGGCGCCCCGGACCCCGUCCUCAACCAUCUGUUUGGCUUUUGGCCACUGAGAAGAGAAACCUGCUAACUCUCCAGGUAAUACCCUCUCUCUUUAGCUUCUUAAAUAUUCCAGAAGGGGAAUCAGUCAGGUCUCAGACAACAGCAGAAGUCUGAGAGAAAACGGGUCCCGUAUCUUCCCAUCCAGAUCACCAAUCCACCAUCUCCUCUGCAUUUCCCCCACCUCUGGCUCUGCAGAUAACCUCUCUGUCCUUCUCCUCCUGGCAUUUCCUGACUGUUACUCAUCGUUCACUCAACACUUUAGGAACCUACUACUGUGUUAGAUUUUAUGCUUGGCCCUGAGGAUACAAGGAAGGAUCAGGCAGCAUCCCUGCCCUCAAAGUAAAAACUGAGAUCAGCCAGGACAAAAAGCUUGCUCUGAGUCGAGUGUUGGCAGGUGUUGUGAAGAGGAAAAGGAGAAGCUGAGUCCUGGACCACUUCUCCUUGCAGGUGAGCAGUUCAGAGAGGAAAGUCUUCACUGCUUUGGGUCAUCCUUGGAAACCGGAAGGCAGGACUGGUAUGGGUAUCCACAUUCCCAAACAGUUCUGCUAGGUUAACAGUAUGUGGUGGCUCUUUUUCCUAACCACGCACCCCUGGUCCCCCGGAAGUACUCUCUUCAGCAUAGAAUCGAAGACAUGGCCUGUGUGUGUUUGGUCCCGCACAACCAGACCCCCUAGAGAUGGUGAAACCGGACCAGGAUGGGACUGGAAAGAUCUGACGCCUUUGCGCAGAAGCAGAAAGAACAAGGGAAGGUCUGGAGGCAUCCUGAAUCCAGUCUACCUUCGUCCUGACUCCUUUUUAAAUUUCAUGAGCCAAACCAUUUCACGGGAUGACCUGUACAGUUAGGAAGCAGGGAGAAGGCCUGUGUUCCCAAUCCCCUUGAACCCACUGGCCAGGAUAGAAUUUCCUCCCAAGCAGGUCAGGUCUGGGCCGUCAGAAGGAUCUGUCUGCUUGUGUGUUUUGUUUGUUUGAUGGGAGGGGGAGGUGGGGCAGCCUGGAAACAAUCAAGGUGACCGUUGACCUUUCACCAGUUAAGGUCCUACGGUCCCAACACCCAACGUGUGAACAGGCGCUGGAGGGCCCAGUAAGCCAGACACAUGCAGACCACCUCCCCACGGCCCCACUGAUCAGGGAACAAAUGCAGACAAACAGGCAAUCCGUGACAUCCUUGAAAAACAUGUCUCCAGUCCCAGCAGAGAGAUGGGGGGAGGCUGGGAGAGGCUUUAAUCAUUCACAGGCCCCCAACCAGGAAGGUGCCCCUUCAGUGUCCGUCCCCCCUACCCCCGAGACUGAACCUGAGAUCCGUCCGGUUCUGUACUCCACCUCCCUCACCCCUGCAAGCAGGAUGAACAAAAGAGGCAGGAACACAAGGUUGAAAGCUCUGGUCCAGGUGGUUAGGACCACAGGGUUUGCUCCAUGCUAGAGCUCCAGGUGGACCCCCGGCUCUGAAAGGCUUUGUAGCUGGAGGGGAUGAACCCACAGCUCCAGCCAGUCGGGACCUGGGGUGGCAUCCCUGGGGAUGCUGGAGAUGGAUGCUGGUCCAGUCUGUGCUGGGGUCACGAGUUGCCGGGCUCACCCAGCCCAAGGAGCUGCAUGGGGCGGGGAAGGUGUACGGAAACCUCGGUGGUCUCUAGGGGGAUCACAGGCGAAUUCAUCAACCUCAAAGCUGCUCCUUGUGAUUAUGGGGCAGAGGGCAGUGCAUCAUGGUUUUGGGAUCACUUUGUGGAAGUUUUUCAGGAAAUCAAGGUCUGCCGGGAGCCAGGAAUCUGGGUGUGUUUAGCCCCGCGCCCUGCCCUUGACAGUCAUGGAAUAGUCCUGAAAUCCACAUGCCCGACCCGCCCUAAGCUCCCUGUUUUGGUUGGGUUUGUUUUGCCCUGUCUCAUCACUAACCCUGUGGUUUUCGAAUGCCUCCUCCCUGCCCCUGUUCCAUGAGGUCCCUCUGUCCCCACAGGGGUCUGCUGCCAGGAGCCAGAAUAAAUAGUGGGAGCUGGAAAAGAGGAGGGUUGAAAGUCAGCGGCUCCCACGAGUCUCUCUGUAGGUCUACACCCCACCCAACCUGCGUUUCAUCUGCACACCACGGCUGGCUCCGGCACUGCCCUGGCCCCAGCUGCUGGGACUCCUCGAGUUUCUUUAGGUUGGCAGCAAAGGGAACCGGAUGCUGCUGCCCUGGAGGACGUCGUGUUCUUACAUCUGCCUCAGACCACAGCCCUGUGACCACAGAGAUGGAGAAAUUGAUUUCUUCCCUUUCCCCCAGCCGUCCCCAAUGUGACUACCUCUGCCCCGCAGACACCCUGGUUGCCUUGGAUGUGAGUUCUGCUUUCCCUUCAUCCGCAGAGGAUAAAUGGCUGAGGUGUCACAGCUCGCAGAUUUCAUAGCCACGGCUCAGAUGCAAUCAAUACCUUCCUAUAACAACCCCACGCAAGAUAUGGGAUCUUCGUUAAGUCAACAAAUAUUUUUCACAACUGACACUCAGAUAGGAGCCUGAUUAGCAAUUGGUUUUCAUUCUUCUUGGUUGUGGUAUUUUAGCUAUUUCCUUCUAUCUUUCUUUCUUCCUUUUCCCCUUCCUUCCUUCCUCCUUUCCUUGCUUCCUUCCUUCCUUUCUUUUAUUUGUUAGCUCUAAUAUCCUUAUUCUUCAAAGUAUUUAGGUAAAGAGAGUUCCAAAAAGCCUUUGGUCAUUUAUUCUAGUGUCUUUCAAUGACCACGGUCAGCAAGUUCUAACUUCAAUCAUGUUGGCAGCUAAAAUAAACAGGGCUGUUUUCUCUCAAAAACGAGAAUGUCUACACUAAAAAGCCUUAGUUAGGUUCCCGUAUGAGUCAUUCUGUGUUAAUGUGGGAAGAUUCGGACGAUUAGCCCGAAGUUUCAGGAAGACGUCGCAUCAAAGGAGGGCUGAUAAAACACAAUCUCAGGAGGUGAAGCCUGACUCUAAGAGGCUGUCAUACACCCAGGGCUCGAGUGAAGCUCAUGAAAUAACAGUAAUUUAUUGAACAAUUACUCUAGGCCAGUCCUGUGCUGAGCAAGUUUAUUUGUUAUAUUAUUUAAUCCUCCCAACCGCCCUCUGAAAGAAAUAUUGUUAUUUCCAUAUUCCAGUCAAUGCCUUCAGAGUCCAUGUUCUCCUCAGGGUCAGAAACUCACAGGCAGAGCCUGGUCCAGGAGGGACUGUCCGGCUCUGAGGCUUGGGCUCUAACUGCCGGGACCCUGGGGGUCUGGGUCUUCUUCCCUUGUUCUUUUUUUUUUUUUUUUAAUUUCUUUAUUUUUAUUUAUUUUUGGCUGCGUUGGGUCUUCCUGGCUGCUUGCGGGCUUUCUCUAGUUGCGGCGAGCGGGGGCUACUCUUCGUUGCGUUGCGCGAGCUUCUCAUUGUGGUGGCUUCCCUUGUUGCAGAGCAUGGGCUCUAGGCACACAGGCUUCAGUAGUUGUGGCACGCAGGCUCAGUAGUUGUGGCUUGCAGGCUCUAGAGUGCAGGCUCAGUAGCUGUGGCUCACGGGCUUAGUUGCUCCACAGCAUGUGGGAUCUUCCCGGACCAGGGCUCGAACCCAUGUCACCUGCGUUGGCAGGCGGAUUCUUAAACACUGCGCCACCAGGGAAGCCCAUUCCCUUGUUCUCAUUCUUGGCAACUAGUGACAAAUUACUUUUCUUCGGUGGCUUCAGUCUCCUUACUUUGCAAUGGCAUUAUUGGCAUUAUUGUCAACCAUUCACUAAAGAACAUCAAUGGACAGUUCCUGGCACUGCUCUAAGGGCUGUGAAUGGGAAUUGCAGCUAUACAGCCCCCAGGGUUGUUAUGGAGAUUAUAUUAUGGGAUGGUGUCUAGAGAUCACUUAGCGCAGAGCUGGCACACAGCUGGUACCUGACAGACAAGGGCUGGCUCAUAACGAUGGCACACCACAAAGCCUUCCCAGAGUGCCCAGGGCCACCAAACUUCUCUUCUUCUGAGCUGACUCUGCUCCCACUGCCACACGGCCACCUGCUGAUAAGGUCUCGCUCUGGCUCAUGUAACCUCCAGUGUCUAGCAAAGUGCUAAUGGCAUAGAAGAGGCUCAGAAACAUCAUUUAGCUGAUGCCCCAAAUGCUCUCUACGCACUGCACCAGGCACGCAAGUAUUUCCAUCCACACCACUGGUGUGAUCGCUCAUUUCAUGUGUCACAUUGGCUGAGCUAAGCGAUGCCCAGUAAACAUGAUUUCCAGGUGUGGCUAUGAGGGUAUUUCUGGAAGAGAUUAGCAUUUGAAUUGGUGGAUUGAGGAAAGACCACCUUUGCCCACGCAGGUGGGCACCAUCCAGUCCAUCAAGCGCCCGAAUAGAACAAAAAGAUGGAGGAAGGGGGGAGUUUGCUCGCUCUGAGCUGAGACCUCCAUCCCUUGGACAUCGACAAUUAUUCCUGGUUCUUGGGCCUUCGAACUUGGACUCAAUCACCCCCCACCCCCAGCUCACUUGGGCCUCCAGCUGGUAGAUGGCAGACGGUGGGGCUUCUCAGCCUCCAUGAUCACACGAGCCAAUUUGUAUCACAAAUCUCCUCUGUAUGUCUAUAUAUCCGAUUGAUUCUGUUCCUCUAGAGAACCCUGAGCAGAGUGGCUGGGUCCAAGGCCCACUCUUACCAAAGCAAAUAGACAGUCAACUCCCUUGGUACAGAAUGAAACAGUUCUCCUUGAAUAACUGUUUUUGUUACAGUCAUUUUUGUCCUGAGAGAUUUCAAGUGCUUUUAAGGGCCCUUGAAGCUUGAGGAGACUUCUGUCGAAUCAGCUGUGAGGGGAGUUUUCUGGUCCCUCCGCUGUCAGUGAGGGAACGCCAGGUUCAGGCCUCUUUGGGAGAGUCGGCAGGUGGAGUCUUCUUUGAACUCAGGCCGGGGCAGAGACCCCUGACCCCGGGUUCCCACAGAGGCCCUGGGGGGAGGGGCAAUGAGAUCAUGUCUGCAGAGGUCCCCAGCCACUUGGAAGGCGAUACCGCUGUAAUUUCUUGGAAAAGCCUUCUCCUUCCCAUGGUUUCUGCUCACACCAGCUCAGUUUUCCUCACCUAACCGCCGCUCACAGCAGCCUCCUGCUCUUGACAGAUUUCCGUCUGCUUGCCCUCCCGGCCCCUCCUCUGGGCUCUCCCCUCAAGGCCAGGUGCCCAUCUGUCCACAGGAGCCUGAGUUUAAAAUCCUGUGGUCUCCACCAGCCAUUUAAUCCUCCGGAUCACUCUAACAAAGGGUGUUUGGGCGUUGGGGCAACAUGGUUCAUUUUGUUGUUUCAUUUUUAUGCAUUCUCUCACUCUGGGUACAGGAGUCUGGGGAAGGAGGAAUCCGGGGAGUAGGUUUUCGUGGUAGGAGAUGCUCACCUGUUGGAAGCACAGUCAUAUACGUUUGGGGGGGUGCUCUGCCAGUCCGCAGCUUGUGUGUGAUGACCCCACCCCCAAUGGGCUCCUUCUCAGUGCCUGGGGUAGAGUUGGGCGGGGAGACCAUGUCCCUCCGUAAACAACUCCACCCAGGACACCUCGGAUCUGGGUUCUGGUUCCGCUUCUUGUGUUGAUUUUCUUGGGGGUGGACGGAAAACCCCUUUCCAUCCUGAGUUCUGACCCUCUUAUCUGAGGGAUGGCUGUCGCCAUCCAGCAUCCACAAUUUUCCGUGAGAGCAUGGGAUGCUUAAGUGGAGACAGAGACGUGAAGGAGUUUACGGGUCAGACGGAUGUGUGAGCCAUGAGUGUGAGGAAGGGUACAGGUGCCACUGGGGAGGGGCGUCCAGGGAGACCCUAGAGCUGACUUCUCCACAUGGGAUGGAGCAGGUGGCAGGUGAGCAGGGCCUUGAAUAGCACUCCAAGGAGAGUGGGCCUUGCCCUGAGGACCAAGUGUUCUUAGCAGGUGUGGGCGGAGCUUGGCAAGACCAGAGCCAGAAGAUUCUGCCAACUCAUCCCUCGGGCUGGGGCAGCAGGGCACCUCUCGGACGCACAUAGUGAGUAGAAGGCCCCGUGGAACGCAGUGACUCCAAGUCCUAAAGGAGCCUUGAGAUCUCUGGACAGACUCAAGCCAGAGGAAAUUUUCUUAAAGCGGCAAGCAUUGUGUGCUUCAGAGCAAGCUCCCUGCCCCACCGCUGGUUAGUCACUUUGCACACAUCACCUCUUCAUCCAAAAGCUGGAGGGUAGGGCUCCUCCAGCUCUGAAAGGAGAUGCUAGGAGCUCUAAAAGCAGGGGAGGCUCUGGCUGACGCUUCCACACUGGAAGGUGGGACAGGGUGGUGAUUACAAGUGUGGGUUCCCAGGUUGUACAUUUCAAACUUCCACUAUGUCAUGUCCACUAUACCAUAAUAAAGUCAGAAAACAAAGAGCAGGGGUUCUGGGCUACAACGCCCAGGCUGGAGUCUCACCUCCACCAGCAAUAGGUGUGUGACCUUGUGCACGUUCCCUAAGUCCUCUGGGCAUCCGCUCUUCUUUAGCCAACUAGGGAUCAUGGUGAUAUCUACCCCACAGAUGUAGUCUGAGGAUGUCAUGGGAUAAUUCGUGUGAACACUUGGACUGCACCUGACACAUUAGAAGACUUCCAUAAAAUGAGCCUUUAUGAGGACUGUUUCUCCAGCAUUUUACUUUGAAACCAUCCCAGGAAGAUUGAAUAAUAAGGAGUCUUUUGGGAUUCUUGGAUGUAGGAACUACGAGGCUCCCCAUGUUCCUAGUGAGGAAACUGAACCUCAGAAGGUUAAAUACCAUGCAGCAUCGCACUGCUGAAAAAGGGGCAAAGCACAGUUGGGAGGCUGUCCUCACCUCUCAUCACCCAGCCUGGGCGGGAGGAGGGACACGCCAGCCUGAGCUUCACAGAGCAUCUAGUUCAGAGGCACAAAAAAUUGGGGGCUGUCUGGCUUCCCUGGUGGCGCAGUGGUUAAGAAUCCGCCUGCCAAUGCAGGGGACACGGGUUCAAUCCGUGAUCCAGGAAGAUCCCACAUGCCGCGGAGCAACUAAGCCCGUGUGCCACAACUACUGAGUCUGCGCUCUAGAGCCCGCGAGCCACAACUACUGAAGCCCGCGCGCCUAGAGCCCGUGCCCUGCAACAAGGGAAGCCACCACAAUGAGAAGCCCGUGCACCGCAACGAAGAGUAGCCUCUGCUCGCCGCAACUAGAGAAAUCUCGAGCGCAGCAAUGAAGACCCCACGCAGACAAAAAAAAAAUGUGGGCUGUCGUGUCCUGGAGGGCGUCUCCCAGACAGGGCUUGGGGUUGGGGGGGAAGUGCAGGAUCAGAGGAGGCGGUGGUGGAGGCAGGACCCCAGCCGGCCCAUCAACCACACAGGCCUGCACUGCUCCACGGGUCGAGGGACGCACCCUCAUCUCCUCUUCCAAGCAGGAAAGACACCUGACCCGAGGCGGCCGAGCUCUCCACGCCAGGUAAUGGGUCCCAGCUGCGGCCGCUGGCCCGCCAGCCCAGGCUCAGGCCCCGGCUCCCUGUGGUUUUGCAGCCUGGCCGAGCUGUAACUCAGAGCCUGGGUCUCUCCAGCCCAACGUCUGGAACCGCCCGCCUGCGGGUCUACAGAGAGCAGAGUAGGUGCUCAGGGCUCACUGAACGUUGAGACGACGCAUGCGCGGCGCGUGGGCGCGUGCAUGAGCGCCUGGCGUUGUCGGCGACGCCCGCCCAGUGGCCCGGCUCCCGCCCUUAGCAGCGCGGUGCUGAGAAGAGGGGCCUGCGGGGCGGGAGGACCUGGCCCCUGGAGCCUCACGGAGUACAGCAGCAACAGCAGCAGCAGGCUGACCCCCCGGAGCCGUCUUCCGAGUGACCGCUCGCGCUUCCCCUGCGCGCCCCACGCCCGGACUCAGAGGCCCCGAGGCCCCACGCAGGGCUGGCUGCUGCCUCCGGGAAGAGGACUGACUGCCAGGCGGGAGGAAAAGCAGACUCAUUUGCUUCGAUUCCAAGGAGAGAAUGAAGGCCAGAAAAGAGAGCUAAAAAAGAAGUAUAACUGGAAACAACCAAAAAGAAGAAAAGCAAGACAGAAACCUUCCCUGUGAGUUCAGAGGCUGCUCUAACGCCCUAUGCUGUCUGUCCCCAGGUCCUGAGGCUCUGGAAGCUCAGGUUGCCCCCAGAAUGGACAAGAUGGCUGAGCUAAAAUGUUCCCUCAACAAAACAUUUAAGUUGGGGGCUUCCCUGGUGGCACAGUGGUUAAGAAUCCGCCUGCCAGUGCAGGAGACACGGGUUGAAGCCCUGGUCCCGGAAGAUCCCACGUGCCGCAGAGCAACUAAGCCCAUGCGCCACAACUACUGAGCCUGUGCUCUAGAUCCCGCGAGCCACAACUACUGAAGCCCACAUGCCACAACUACUGAAGCCCACACGCCUAGAGCCCGUGCUCUGCAACAAGAGAAGCCACCGCAAUGAGAAGCCCGCUCACCACAACUAAAGAAAGCCCACGUGCAGCAACGAAGACCCAAUGCAGCCAAAAAUGCAGAAACUGAGGCCCAAGGACUCAGCUGACAAGUGGGAGAACCAGCUGCAAACCUGGGCUGCCUGACUGCACCAGUCAGCUCUCUGCCAGCUUGCAGCACAGGUGAACACAACGCACCCGCAGUGAGCCGGGCAGGUGUAAACAUGACGUACCUGCAUUGAGCAGCAUUUUGACGCAGUCCAGAUGCUCCCGGGCGCAGGCCACGUGCAGAGGGGUCCCAAAGUGGCAGUCGUGCGCUUCCAGGUUGGCCCCAACGUCAAUAAGAAGCCUCACACACUCAGAACUUCCUUAAAAGAAAUGGAGACGGAGGAAAGGCAUCGUAUCACAUAUAUUUGAAAUAACAGGCUUGGCAGACACGCGGCUGCUGGAGCAGGACGUCUGACCCAACUCCAGUGAACGACACAUGAGGGAGAGGCUGCUGAGAGCGUUCACAGUUUCGACACACCCCUCGCCCCCGAUGUUGCCUAGACGUGAGCUGGGAAGUGCCGUGGCCGUCGGACCACCUGCCUAACGUCGGCUCUGAGGAUGGGAAGCACCAGGUGAGUCACUGGUCACGUGGGGCCUGCAGCCCUGACAGCCAGGCUUCCUGUGGUGUGAGGGUGAUGUUUCUUUACGGUUUAAGCCAGGUGCAGACAAACGCAUGCAAACUCAGAGUGUACACUCCCCAGAUGCAGAAACUACAGGACGUUUUCUCAACACCCGUCAGAGCACCUGGGAUACAGGGCAGUCUUCUAGACACUCUUUUAAAACGUCAUAAAUGACAACAGUGCUGGAUUAUGCUGACACAUCUUUACUGUCAAGCCCCAACUUCGGCAGAUGACCACAUUACACACCUCUUCAUAAUAAGCAGUUUCCUUUUAUUAUAACUACAUUUUAUUAUCACAUCUCCCUAGAAAACCUUCUGAGCAACCACAUGGUUCCCAAGUCUUAUCAGAAGCACUUUCACGAACCAUAUCUGGGGUGAAUGUACUUCCUUGGCAGGUGGAUAACCUCCUGGGUUAUGUGUUGAUGACUGUCCCCUCUUGGAGAUCCCCUCAUUUCUGCCGACCUACAGCCCUACCCCACCCCCGCAGUGGAGCCGCAUGACGCGUGGCUCAGGGUUCUCCAGAGCCAAACGGCCCAGGGCUAAAACUCAGCGCAGCCAUUUAUUAGCUUGUGCGAGAAACAGCUUCCCUGACUGUCAGUUUUGUCACCUGUAAAUUGGGAUAAUAAUAUAGUUCAUUCAUCGGUGGGUUAUGAAAAUUAAAUGAAUGAAAGUAAAAGCACUUAGCGUUGGGCCCAGCACAGAGUAAGUGCUCCAUAAAUGGAGUCUAUUUGUGGUAUUUUAACCCCCUCAUUGUACCUAACUGUGCGACCCCACAGGGGUCAUGGGGGGCCAGGGAAGUGAAGGGAGGACUGGAAUGCAGAGGAAGAUCUGAUCCCCACAAACGUAAAAGCCAGGCUUGGGGAACUUCUUACUUACUGUCCCAGGAGUAAGUAAGUAAGCCAAGCUUGGGGACCCCAGUAUGUCUCCCAGUCGUGAUGAAUGGCCGCCCGUAUGCCUGUCUUGUGGGGUGGGUAGUGGAAAGCAGCUGUGGAUCACUCUCAAGUCAGUCUGGAGGGAGCAGAACCCCAAGGGCAGACUGAGUAAAAAGAGGAGAACAGGGCGAGUCCUGGGUCCUGCAGGAAGGAGGAAAGUGCAGCUCAGGAAGGCGGUGCAGGGAAGGCCUGAGCAUCCCUCAGCAGCCCGUGCAGGUAGAUGCAGCCUCUCCCACCGCGUUGCACAGAGACGGAUGGACAUGGCAAUCAGCAGGUCACGGUCAUGGGCUGGGGAG